GAAGACUCCGAUCCACGGCGGCGGAGUUCAUUGAUGGCGAUUUUAGUCUACGAUUGGGUCUUCAAGCACAAGGCUACGAUCGGAUGAGCUUUUAGCAAAAGCGUCCUUUUUGCACGGGACUAAUAGUCCCGUACCAAAAAGGGUCGAUUUUGCCCAUUUUCUUAUUACACGGUCGAUUUUGCUAAUUAAAUUUAAAAAACGGUCAUUUUUCAAAAUUUGUCCGAGUAAAUAUCCAUCAAAUUCCAAUGAUUUAUUGGACAUUGGACAAACAACAACAUGAAAACACUGAUCUUGAGCUGAGCAAGAAUAUGUUGCGCUCAACGGAAGCGGACUCAAUCUACAACAAGUCAGUCACCAAUGUACAAAGAACACAACGAGCACAAUCCACAAUAUAAACAACCAAGAUCAAUCGCAAACACAGAGAAUUACGUGGUUCGGCAAGAUACCUACGUCCACGGAAAGAGGAUGGAGAGAUUUCACUAUAUGGAGGAGAAAUACAAUGGGUUACAACUCUUAAGACAAUCAAACUAACCCUCACUAACAAGAUCUCACUCACCUCCAAAGAAUCUCCCUCUCAAAGUGUUCAAUCAACUCUAAGAACGCUUAUAUUAUUAGCCGCCACACCCUUCUAAUAUAUAUAUAUAUAAACCACGCCUUGGCUUUUAACCACUCCACCCGCUCCAGAUUAGUCGACCGAUAGGAUUCAUCGGUCGACCGAAGUGCACGAAACAUGCAUCAGAACUAACCUCGAUCGGUCAACUGAUAAAUCCUAUCGGUCGACUGUCCACAGGAAAUUUACAAUACUCAAGACUCAGGGUUAUAUCGGUUGACCGAUAGAAUUUAUCAGUCGACCAACCAGAGAGAACUUUCAACAGAGUAAUGUAAUAGAUUCGAAGCACAUUGAUCUGCAUACAGGACUGUUCACAGACUCCAAGUCUGCAAUUCUGAAUAACAAUGGGAUUGAACAUGAGUCAACAGGAAUAACUCAUGCCCCAGUGAGACCUCAAGUCCAGAGUGUGGAUCUUCUGUUUCCAUAAAUCAUUCCGCAGAAGGAGCUAACUCUAAUGGUUUCGAAGCAUCAAGUUCUCAAAGUGCUCAACCUAUUCGUAAGUCUAGUGCAAAGUUGUUCGGCAUUGAACUUCGUCAGCUUCAACAGAGUCCUUCCACAGCCUCAGAUGUUCAGGGCAGUUUCAGGUUUCUUUUAUCGAACACAGUUAGUCCAGAGACUAGAGCUGUUCAAAAUAAAUUACAGUUUCUCUGUCGAGAUUCUUCUUUUUGGAACGGUGAAGUUUGGGAAGCAGUGGUGCAGUAGGGAAGCCAUUUUUUCCUAAAGGUUUCAAAAAUCGUGUCCAGUUCUUCGGCGUGCUUGAUCGUACAAGGAUGAGUAAUUACAUUUCAGAAGUACUAGAUGCUGGAUUGCUUGGGCCUAUGUUUAAGGUUACUCUAGAGGAGAAUCAGGAGGAAACGUUCACACAUUCUUCUGCUACACAGUAUUGGGAUUUGGUGAGAGAGACUAAACCAAGAGAUCACUAGACGAUCAAGGCCAGGGAAGCAAGAUCUUCUCCAAAUGCAACCUGCAGGGAGCAUCAAUGGGCUCGAAAUGUUUGGGCUUUUGUGUCCAUCAACUGUUCAG